rnacentral:rRNA from 1 species
GGGUUGUAAAGCCCUUUCGGUGGGGAAGAAAAGCCUCGAGCUAAUACCUCGGGGUCUUGACGUAACCCAUAGAAGAAGCACCGGCUAACUCUGUGCCAGCAGCCGCGGUAAUACAGAGGGUGCGAGCGUUAAUCGGAAUUACUGGGCGUAAAGCGCGCGUAGGCGGCUUUGCAAGUCGGGUGUGAAAUCCCCAGGCUUAACCUGGGAACUGCAUUCGAGACUGCAUUGCUAGAGUAUGGGAGAGGGAAGUGGAAUUUCCGGUGUAGCGGUGAAAUGCGUAGAUAUCGGAAGGAACAUCAGUGGCGAAAGCGACUUCCUGGACCAAUACUGACGCUCAUGUGCGAAAGCGUGGGGAGCAAACAGGAUUAGAUACCCUGGUAGUCCACGCCAUAAACGAUGAGAACUGGAUGUCGGGAGGGUCUGCCUCUCGGUGUCGUAGCUAACGCGUUAAGUUCUCCGCCUGGGGAG